rnacentral:sRNA from 1 species
GAUUCUUCUGUGUAGCUUCUUACAUUCUUCUGCUCUGUGUUCCAUGCUUGUAUAGUCUCUAAUGAUUCUUUCAUGUAGCUCUCAAUGAUUUCUCCACUCCAUGUUCUGUGCUUGUGUAACUUCUAACAAUUCUUAUGCAUAUCUCUUAAUGUUCUUCUGCUCUGUGCUCCACUGUGAAGUGGCUUCUGAUAUUCUUCCACUCUGAACUUUCCUCUAUAAGAACCUUCUUUGUAUGAUCUUUUCUUCUGAUUUCUUUUCUCUUUCUUUCCUUAAUCAAUUCGUAAUCUGUAAUUAGGAUAGUAUCAAAUCG